CCUACGGGUGGCAGCAGUGAGGAAUAGUGGUCAAUGGACGGAAGUCUGAACCAGCCAUGCCGCGUGAAGGAAGAAGGCUCUAUGAGGUGUAAACUGCUUUUGUACAAGGGAAAACCGGAAUACGUGUAUGCAGCUGAAAGUACGGUACGAAUAAGGAUCGGCUAACGCCGUGCCAGCAGCCGAGGUAAUACGGCGGUUCCAAGCGUUAUCCGGAUUUAUUGGGUUUCAAGGGUGCGGAGGCUGUUUGAUAAGUUAGAGGUGAAAUGUCCGAGCUUAACCCGGGAACUUCCUUUAAUACUGUUGAUCUAGAGUGUAGUUGCGGUAGGCGGACUUUCUGGUGUAGCGGUGAAAUGCUUAGAUCUCA
rnacentral:rRNA from 1 species